rnacentral:rRNA from 1 species
AUUGAACGCUGGCGGCAGGCCUAACACAUGCAAGUCGAGCGGAUGAAGGGAGCUUGCGCCUGGAUUCAGCGGCGGACGGGUGAGUAAUGCCUAGGAAUCUGCCUGGUAGUGGGGGAUAACGUCCGGAAACGGGCGCUAAUACUGCAUACGUCCUGAGGGAGAAAGUGGGGGAUGUUCGGACCUCACGCUAUCAGAUGAGCCUAGGUCGGAUUAGCUAGUUGGUGGGGUAAAGGCCUACCAAGGCGACGAUCCGUAGCUGGUCUGAGAGGAUGAUCAGUCACACUGGAACUGGGACACGGUCCAGACUCCUACGGGAGGCAGCAGUGGGGAAUAUUGGACAGUAGGCGAAAGCCUGAUCCAGCCAUGCCGCGUGUGUGAAGAAGGUCUUCGGAUUGUAAAGCACUUUAAGUUGGGAGGAAGGGCAUUAAGUUAUUACCUUGCUGUUUUGACGUUACCAACAGAAUAAGCACCGGCUAACUUCGUG